GACGAACCGGACAAACGUUAUUCGGAAUUAUUGGGCUUAAAGGGUGCGUAGGCGGUGCGGUAAGUCGGGUGUGAAAUCCCUCGGCUCAACCGAGGAACUGCGCCCGAUACUGCCGUGCUUGAGGGAGACAGAGGUGAGCGGAACUGAUGGUGGAGCGGUGAAAUGCGUUGAUAUCAUCAGGAACACCAGUGGCGUAAGCGGCUCACUGGGUCUCUUCUGACGCUGAGGUACGAAAGCUAGGGGAGCGAAAGGG
rnacentral:misc_RNA from 1 species